AUCUACAGCCAUACCAUCUUGAACGUGCCUAAUCUCGUCUUAUCUCAGAAGCUUAGCAGAGUUGCGCCCAUUUAGUAUUUGGAUGCGAAACCACCUGGAAAUACUGGGUGCUGUAGCCU
rnacentral:rRNA from 1 species